rnacentral:rRNA from 1 species
GAUGAACGCUGGCGGCGUGCCUAAUACAUGCAAGUCGAGCGAACAGACGAGGAGCUUGCUCCUCUGACGUUAGCGGCGGACGGGUGAGUAACACGUGGAUAACCUACCUAUAAGACUGGGAUAACUUCGGGAAACCGGAGCUAAUACCGGAUAAUAUAUUGAACCGCAUGGUUCAAUAGUGAAAGACGGUUUUGCUGUCACUUAUAGAUGGAUCCGCGCCGCAUUAGCUAGUUGGUAAGGUAACGGCUUACCAAGGCAACGAUGCGUAGCCGACCUGAGAGGGUGAUCGGCCACACUGGCACUGAGACACGGUCCAGACUCCUACGGGAGGCAGCAGUAGGGAAUCUUCCGCAAUGGGCCAAAGCUUGACGGAGCAACGCCGCGUGAGUGAUGAAGGUCUUCGGAUCGUAAAACUCUGUUAUUAGGGAAGAACAAAUGUGUAAGUAACUAUGCACGUCUUGACGGUACCUAAUCAGAAAGCCACGGCUAACUACGUG